GACUCGGUGGCGGGUGGUCCGCGUCCAUGCUUGUUGAACGAUGUCGUUCGUUACGUUGCAUGUGGAAGCCGCCUGUUCGAUUCAGGCCCGAGUUA